rnacentral:tRNA from 2 species
AGGCCCGUGAUGAAAUGGUAUCAUGAAGGUCUCCAAAACCUUUCUUCCAGGUUCGAAUCCUGGCGGGCCUG